GGGAAAUUGGCUGAACAACAGGAAAUAGAAGUCUCGUAAAGGCUUGACCUAAAGCACAGCAAUGUCAACAAUCCCUGCUUACUGUUGUCCUGGUUCCAGGCCACUAACGUAUCAAUCACCCCUGCCGUGGAUCACUUCUGGAGGUCCAAGUCAC